rnacentral:lncRNA from 10 species
GGGGGAAGGAGGGGGAGAAAGGAGAAAAGAAAAAGUAGGAGGAGAAAGAGGAAUCGGGGAGCGUCGACAUGAAGGGGUUUCCUUAAUAUUGUGGACGGAUUCAGAAAUGAAUGAAGAGAUAGUCCAUUGAAAAGGGUUGAAUGCCAUGACAACUAGGAACAACCUUAGAUUUAUUCCAAACAGUUAGGACACAUUGAAAGAGAGCGUCAAUCAUGUAUUAUUUCGCCACUGAAAUAAAUGCAAAAACCGAGCCGGGACAAAGGCUUCCAACGGGAGCGGGACAUUUGUCUACAUUUCGCUCAUUGUCCGCAGCUUAGCAAUCGGUUUGUAUUUGUGUUUGCCCGGGUCCGACCACCCAGGACGCGCCGACGAGGGGCUUGCUCUAACCUGGGCCAUUGUCACCCACGUCACAUACUGGGGGCGAGGCAGCUAGGGCUGCAGAAAGCCGCCGAGCGGCUCGGGGAGAGGUGCCCUCACCCAGCGCUGGCAACCCGGGGGCAGCUGGGGCGCGGCGGCGUCCGCUGCAGCUGCGCGCGAGGAGGACCCGGUGCCCGCGCGCUCAGCUUGGCCCGCGCGGAGGAGCCCAGGUUGUGGGAAGACUAGACCUGGACCCCGCAGGGGUGGCCUUCUGUGCCCCUCCCCGCCCCCAGACAAAGCUCCUUCCUGACACUCCUCUGGGGCGAACGAGCAUCAGGUAGCCAAUCUACACCCCUGCACCCCCCCCCCAAAAAAGUUUUAACUAGAAGAAGGGGUGGCAAAUGCGGCGUGGUCUUUUCCAACCCCAGCGCCGAGGAGGAAGUGCAAGUCCCGGGAAAGUUCAGUUCCCAGAGCCGAGAGUGGCUGGAAACUUCACACUAACCUGACUUAACCUGGAAACGUGGAGCGCGUACUCCGAACGCACCCAAGGCGUCCAAAAAGAGACCACACUAAAGAACUCGCGUGGGAGAAGAAAACUG